rnacentral:rRNA from 1 species
UGGGGAUUAUUGCACAAUGGGCGAAAGCCUGAUGCAGCGACGCCGCGUGAGGGAUGACGGCCUUCGGGUUGUAAACCUCUUUCAGUAGGGACGAAGCGCAAGUGACGGUACCUGCAGAAGAAGCACCGGCUAACUACGUGCCAGCAGCCGCGGUAAUACGUAGGGUGCGAGCGUUGUCCGGAAUUACUGGGCGUAAAGAGCUCGUAGGCGGUUUGUCACGUCGUCUGUGAAAUCCUAGGGGUUAACCCUGGACGUGCAGGCGGAACGUGCUGACUUGAGUACUACAUGAGAGACUGGAAUUUCUGGGGUAACGGUGGAAUGCACAAAUAUCAGGGAGAACACCGAUGGCGAAGGCAGGUCUCUGGGUAGUAACUGACGCUGAGGAGCGAAAGCAUGGGUAGCGAACAGG